AUUGAACGCUGGCGACAGGCCUAACACAUGCAAGUCGAACGAGUGGCGGACGGGUGAGUAAUGUCUGGGAAACUGCCUGAUGGAGGGGGAUAACUACUGGAAACGGUAGCUAAUACCGCAUACCAUCGGAUGUGCCCAGAGGGGAUUAGCUAGGAGGUGGGGUAAAGGAUCACCUAGGCGACGAUCCCUAGCUGGUCUGAGAGGAUGACCAGCCACCAUGAAACUGUGACACUGUCCUGCCUCCUACGGGAGGCACACGUGGUGAAUAGUGCACAAUGGGCGCAAGCCUGAUGCAGCGAUGCCGCGUGGAUGUAGAAGGCCUUCGGGUUGUAAAGUACUGGCAGCGGUGAGUCGUUACCCGCAGAAGAAGCACCGGCUAACUCCGUGCCAGCAGCCGCGGUAAUAC
rnacentral:rRNA from 1 species